GCGCCUAUCGUCUAGUGGCCGAGGACACUGCUCUUUCACGGCAGAAACUGGGGUUCGAAUCCCUGUAGGCGUGCCA
rnacentral:tRNA from 1 species